CUGGGUUGAACAGCGUCCCCCAAAAUGCACAUCCACCCAGAGCCUCAGAAUGUGAGCUUAUUUGGGAAUAAGGUCUUUGCAGAGGUAAUUAGUUAAGAUGAGGCCAUACUGGAUUGGGUGGGCCCUAAACCCAAGGACUGGUGUCCUUAGAAGAGAAGAGGGAAGAAGCCUGGGGACAGAGGAGGCAGAGAUUGGGGUGAGGCGUCCACAGGCCAGGGGAGGCCAGGGUUUCCAGCCACCGCCGGAGCUGGAGACAGGCCAGGGACGGAGGUUCCCUCAGAGCCUCCAGGGGAACGAGCCCCACCCACACCUUGAUUUCAGGCUCCUGGCCUCCCGAGCUGCGAGAGAAUAGGCGUCUGUUGUUUCAAGCCGUCCAGUUUGUGGUGAUUGUCAUACCUGUCCUCCUGCACACAGGAUGGGGAUUGGUCCCAGGGGUGGGGCCUUGAGAUUAACCCCCCUGUAUUCUCAGAAUCAUUUCUAUCCAAGGGGGUGGCUUCAGACAUGUCCUCCAGGUCGCCAGGCCCGAGCCUGGCCCGAGCCCUCCAGGAGAGUUGAGGGGCCGGGACCUGAGUCAGUGGCCUCCCCCACAGCAAGCCUAGAGACAGAUUUGACCCCAGUUCAGAUACAGCCUCAAGCGGGUGCCCUAUGCUGGGCUACUCCACAGGCCACCAAGAGAAGAGCACAGUCCCAGGCCUCCUCCACGCCUGGCUCCCCAGGACGCAACUGACUGCCCCUCCCCUCCUCACGGUGGGGGCCACAGCCCUUGGCCUCCUGCUCCCUCAGAGACUGCGACCUGGGCUCGAGGCACCCCUCCACACUGCCUGUCUGGCACAGUCAAGCUGAGGCCGGGCCACCAGCCCCACCCCGUGCAGCACCCUCCCAGUGCCCCACACAGAUCACCUGCAGCCUACUCUGCUUGUCUGUCUCUCCGGCUCCAGCCCUCUUGAGUCCUUGGAUUCCCAAGGGAGAGGCAAGGGGCAGGGCACAGAGGUCUGGUGCCUCAGGCUAAGUCCAGCCGGGGAGCUGCAUGAGCAGGUCCAAAUCUUAAACCCGCAAUUCCAGAGAAACACUGGGAAGGAUGCUGGGAGGUGGACACUCUCCCUGCCUCUCCCUGCAUCCAGCCUUGACUCUGCUCCAUACACUUUAUCCUCAGGUGCGUCCUGGGCCCCCUGAGGACCACCGGGGUUUGGGAGGCAGCAGCAGCGGGGUCGGGGGCUGAGGCCCUCUCCCUUUCCAUCAGAACCACUUUUCUUCUUGUUUUACACACUGGCCUUUCAAAGAUUUGGACUUUGAACCAAACGUUCCUUAGCUAACCAGAUUCUGCCAACCCCAAUCUGUCCUGGACGACUGUGGUGGCCCAACUCUGGCAGGAGCCAGCUGGAGGCAGCAUCCAGGGCUGCUGUCCAUCCAGACCCAGGACCCCGCGCCCACGGGACCCCCAGGAGUGGCCCGGCACAGGGCUAAGGAGGAGCAGGCACUUUGGUAACAAAGUAUAAGAUGGAAUCAAAUUAAGUCCCGGCCAAUUAAAAAUGCAAAUGGCAGUUGCCUUGAAGGUCGGACAUAGGCACAGGGUGGGGCUGUCCUGACUCUGGUAUGUCACGGAGAC
rnacentral:lncRNA from 10 species